rnacentral:tRNA from 1 species
GCCCCGAUCGUCUAGCUCGGCCAAGGAUAAAGCCCUUUCGAGGCUUUGACGCGAGUUCGAAUCUCGCUCGGGGCA